rnacentral:lncRNA from 1 species
CAUGGCCCUUGAGACCUGUGUACCUGCUUGCCUUUCUCAAGCACACCUGUUUUGCCUCUAAUUCCUAGGUGGUCUGGCAUGGAAGAAGGCCAGAGGCUGCGAUGGAUCAUCUUUGUCUUGGGAGAUUCCUGGAGAUGGUGGGGAGCCCCUGGGCACGUGCAGCAUAUGUGGCGUGGGCUUCUUCAGGUGCUGGUGGAUCCCUCAGGAUGCUUUUCAAGGUUUUUCUAUGAGUUCUGUUAAAGAGUCUGAAAAUGGAGCGUAGAAGACAUGCUUCGAUUUCCAGGAUGGUUGUGUUUUCCAGAGAGGCGGAGGUAAACCACUGGCGCAGCCCUGCCUCCCACAGAUAAUUCCGGGUGCAGUGUUUCAUAUCUAGACUUGGACUUCUAUCCUACCAUACUUCUUUGUGUGCAGUUCAUUGUGGAACCAGCACAGAUUUUCAUACGAAAGUUAUUUCUUUUUAACCUCAAAAAGUGACAGAAUGGAGUGUAUCAUGAAAAAGUCUGACAUCAAAACCUCAAAAUGUGAUAUUGAUUGGGUGAGAUAGAAUUCCAUGGAAUUUCAUUGCCAAACCAGUGAAGUGCUAAUUUUGACAUUUGUACCAGCUAACGUAGCUGUGAAGAAACACACCAAUACACUUCUAAGGACAGCAUAGACCAAGAUCUAGGUUUCAUAUGGAUGAAUUUAUUCUUCCCUUUGAGGCAAGACAAGAAGGAAAGAAAGUAUUGGGAAUAAUGCUGCCCUCCCAUCCUCAAGGGCCAGUGGGAACUCUAAUAUUGAUUGGUUUUCACAGAAUUCCAUGGACUUUAACUGCUGAACCAAUGAUGCACUGAUUUUGUCACUUGUACCAGCUAACGCAUCUGGGAGGCAACAAAACAAUACUCUCCUGAGGUUAAUGUGGACCAAAAACUAGAUUUCAUAUAAAAGAGUUUAUUCCUUCUACUUGAGGUGUGACAUGAAGGAAAGUAAUGGAAAUAAUUCUGCCCUCCCAUUCUCAAGGGCCAGGGGGAAUUCAAAUAUUGAACGGAAGUGAUUUUGGAAUUGCAUGGAAUUCUCACUGCCAUCCCAAAGAAAUGCUGAUCUUGUCACUCUUACCUGUUUCAUUCCCUGGGGGCAGAACAAAAGGACGCACUCCAAAGAUCGGCAUGAACCAAGAACUGGGUUUCAUAUAAAAUAUUUUAUUCUGUCCUCUUGAGAUGUGACAUGAGAAAAGUAUUGAGAAUACUUCUAUCACCUCAUCUUCAAGAAUCCGUAGGAAUUCUCCCAUGGUGGACUUUACGGUUAACCUGAACAGGUCUUGGAAAAAGGACUUUAAACAUUCUCCUGUUCUGUGGAAUAAGUAUACUUUUUUCUGGACAUACACCUUGUCAGUGAGUUCCAUGUGAUACUAGAGUUGCAUAGAUUUUUAACCUUUACGCCAAUGAAGAUCUGAGGCAAACAUUGCCCCUUUUUUAGAAGUUUGCAUUUGUCACUGAUAACUGUAAUAAUUGAUCUUGUUGAAAAGCCUGGGAAAUGAAGAUCUGAUAUGUCACUUUUACCGGCUUCCUCAACUGAAAAAGAAUACAAUGAAACACGCUGAGAAUUUUUGUGCUUUCUCAGUCUUGCUGAUGAUCUUUCUAUGGGCCUGAAGCGUGGAGAGUGCCAGAGAGGCUGAUCCUCAGCAGUGUGGCAGAGGAAAGUUGGGUGCGACUAAGGGGUAUGCGGUGCCCACAUGCCACUGGGUCCUCAGCAGUACCACCUGAUUGGAAGUGAUAUUGGUGGAAGACAACAUUUUGCCGCUUGGAAUUCUCACCUCCACACCAAAGAAGUACUGUUUUUGUCAUUUGCACCAGCUUCUUUCUCCAGGAAAGAUCAAAACGAUGCACUGCAAGUGUGAUUGGUCCAGAUAGCUGCCUUAUCCAACUGCCUCCUUUGGACCACUUCAUCAUGGGACAGCUUGAUGCAAUCUACUUGACAAGACCCUGGAACCCCACACCCCUCAUGGAACCAGUGUCCACCUCCCAGUCACAGUGUGACCCCAGGGAACUCUUGCCUGCUUGCUUUAAACCCACCACUUAAAAGUCUCCACAGAAAACCUGUUUGAAUAGUACCCUUGACCCAAUAAGGGCAUUGGCCCCUGGGUGUCUCUCUCUCUCUCUCUCUCUCUCUCUCCCUCUCUCUCCCUCUCUCUCUCUCGCUCCCUGACCUCUGCGUGUGGACUCCAGGCAUGCCAUAUACCCCUCAGGACCUGAAGCAAAAGAAUGAAUUAAAGAAAACUCCAGAGAAUGAGCUGACAACCUACUCCCUGGUCAGUGGCUCUCCAUGCCUACCUGUGGUCUCUUGGACACCCUUGCAGAUGACUUCCUGGGAACUCUUCUGGGAGUGAAUGUUAUCAGCAAAUUCCCAAAACAACACCCCUUAGACAAAAAGCCUCCUCACCUAUGCAUUGCCUAGACCACCCACUAAAGGUGAUGGCCACAAAGAGGUGGAUUUGUUGAGUUGGUGCCAUUCCUUCUACUGCCAGCUUCACCAAAACAAUGACACAGUCUUCCUUCCGCAUGGAGACUCUUCUCUUUCCUGUGUUGCAGUGGAUGCCUCCUGCAGAUAAGAAAUGCUUAACUGAGAAAUGCUCAUGUUGGGAUAUCAUCGAUGAGACUUUAAUUUGGGCAUGGUGACUGUUUCCCUUGCUGCCACUUGACUCAAUCCCAGGAGCCUCAGUAGAGGAUAUAAUAUUACACAAGAUGCUCAAAAUGGUGGAAUUGCUCAGUGCUCCCAUAAAUAUACAUUUAUAAUUUUCAUUUGCCACAUGGUAAACUGAAAAAUACAGACUAUAUUAAAAAGAAACUGCAUGAUUUUUUUUCAAAAAUUCAAAGCAUAUUUAAAUAAUAUAUAAAUUAAAUGCCCUCCUCUCUUCCAAUUCUGUCCCUAUAGUUUUCCUCUAUUAAGUGAACUACAUGCAUUCUUUUAGUGGAUAGAUGCACACAAACACACAAGCCAUUAUGGGGAAGGAUCCACGUGUGUGGCCAUAUUGUAACACAUUUUUCUGCAAAUCACCUCUUUCAUUUAACAGCCCUUAUUCAAUGGCCUUUUUCUUUUUCAGUAGUACAUACACAUCUGUGUCAUUUGUUGAAUGACGACAUGAAUGUUUUGUAGAUAAAAUAUAAUUAAAUGUUUUAAGCAUUUCUCACUCAUAGAUAUUUAUGUUAGCACCAAAUUUCUGUGCAAUGAACCUCCCUAUAUAUCAGUAAUUUUGCAUUUGUCUAUAAUAUCAUAAUAAAUUACUUAUCAGUUGAAUUACUGGGAUUAAGUAUGUGCACACUUUAUAUUUAUAUUUUGAAAAUUAUUGCAAGAUUGCCUUCAAAAAUGUGGUUAACAACUUUAUCUUCAAAUGGCAAUGAAUGAGAUUGCCAGCUUUCCUACAGCCUCACAGACAAUGGAUUUUAUAAAUAUUUAACAUUUUUGCCAAUGUGAUCACCCAAACUAUUGUCUUAAAUUGUAUCUCUUUUGUUUUUGAGUUUGGUCAUUUUUUCAUGUUUAUUAGCCAUCUGUAUUUUUUAAUUUCUUCUUUAUGUCCAAUUUUGUGGGUGGGAGGAGGAUUUAGUCUCUUCCUGAUUUCGAAGAGCUCAUUUACUAUUUCGGGAAAUAAGAUUUGGAUUGUCAACCAUUAUAGCUAUUUUUUACACACUUUUCAACUUUGUUUUUGUUAUAAGAAUGUGUAUGAUUGUUACAUGUCCAAGUAUAACCAUGUUCGCUUUUAUGGCUUCUGAGUUUCAUGUCAUUUUUGGAAAGAUAUAUAUAUUGAGUCCAUAAAA